rnacentral:rRNA from 1 species
AGCGAACGCUGGCGGCAUGCCUAACACAUGCAAGUCGAACGUGAUCCAGGCUUCGGUCUGGUGAAAGUGGCAGACGGGUGAGUAACGCGUGGGAACCUGCCCUGUGGUAGGGAAUAACUGCGGGAAACUGCGGCUAAUACCCUAUGUGUCCUGAGGGACAAAGAUUUAUCGCCAUAGGGGGGGCCCGCGUCGGAUUAGGUAGUUGGUGGGGUAACGGCCUACCAAGCCAUAGAUCCGUAGCUGGUCUGAGAGGAUGAUCAGCCACACUGGGACUGAGAUACGGCCCAGACUCCUACGGGAGGCAGCAGUGGGGAAUAUUGGACAAUGGGGGCAACCCUGAUCCAGCAAUGCCGCGUGGGUGAUGAAGGCCUUCGGGUUGUAAAGCCCUUUCGGCGGGGAAGAUGAUGACGGUACCCGCAGAAGAAGCCCCGGCUAACUUCGUGCCAGCAGCCGCGGUAACAC